AGUGAACGCUGGCGGUAGGCCUAACACAUGCAAGUCGAACGGCAGCACAGAGGAGCUUGCUCCUUGGGUGGCGAGUGGCGGACGGGUGAGGAAUACAUCGGAAUCUACCCUGUCGUGGGGGAUAACGUAGGGAAACUUACGCUAAUACCGCAUACGACCUACGGGUGAAAGCAGGGGAUCUUCGGACCUUGCGCGAUUGAAUGAGCCGAGGUCGGAUUAGCUAGUUGGCGGGGUAAAGGCCCACCAAGGCGACGAUCCGUAGCUGGUCUGAGAGGAUGAUCAGCCACACUGGAACUGAGACACGGUCCAGACUCCUACGGGAGGCAGCAGUGGGGAAUAUUGGACAAUGGGCGCAAGCCUGAUCCAGCCAUACCGCGUGGGUGAAGAAGGCCUUCGGGUUGUAAAGCCCUUUUGUUGGGAAAGAAAUCCAUCUGGUUAAUACCCGGGUGGGAUGACGGUACCCAAAGAAUAAGCACCGGCUAACUUCGUGCCAGCCGCCGCGGUAA
rnacentral:rRNA from 1 species